rnacentral:rRNA from 1 species
UGGCGGACGGGUGAGUAACGCGUGGGUAACCUGCCUUAUACAGGGGGAUAACAGUCAGAAAUGACUGCUAAUACCGCAUAAGACCACGGUACCGCAUGGUGCAGUAGGUAAAACUCCGGUGGUAUGAGAUGGACCCGCGUCUGAUUAGGUAGUUGGUGGGGUAACGGCCCACCAAGCCGACGAUCAGUAGCCGACCUGAGAGGGUGACCGGCCACAUUGGGACUGAGACACGGCCCAG